UACGUAGGGUGCAAGCGUUGUCCGGAUUUAUUGGGCGUAAAGAGCGUGUAGGCGGCCAGGUAGGUCUGCUGUGAAAACUCGAGGCUUAACCUCGAGAUGUCGGCGGAAACCAUCUGGCUAGAGUCCGGAAGAGGAGAGUGGAAUUCCUGGUGUAGCGGUGAAAUGCGCAGAUAUCAGGAAGAACACCGGUGGCGAAGGCGGGUCUCUGGGCCGUAACUGACACUGAGGAGCGAAAGCAUGGGUAGCGAACAGG
rnacentral:rRNA from 1 species